rnacentral:lncRNA from 1 species
GCAGCCAGCGCAGGGGCUUCUGCUGAGGGCGCAGGCGGAGCUUGAGGAAACCGCAGAUAAGUUUUUUUCACUUUGAAAGAUAGAGAUUAAUACAACUACUUAAAAAAUAUAGUCAAUAGGUUACUAAGAUAUUGCUUAGCGUUAAGCUUUUAACGUAAUUUUAAUAGCUUAAGAUUUUAAGAGAAAAUAUGAAGACUUAGAAGAGUAGCAUGACGAAGGAAAAGAUAAAAGAUUUCUAAAACAUGACGGAGGUUGAGAUGAAGCUUCUUCAUGGAGUAAAAAAUGUAUUUAAAAGAAAAUUGAGAGAAAGGACUACAGAGCCCUGAAUUAAUACCAAUAGAAGGGCAAUGCUUUUAGAUUAAAAUGAAGGUGACUUAAACAGCUUAAAGUUUACUUUAAAAGUUGUAGGUGAUUAAAAUAAUUUGAAGGCGAUCUUUUAAAAAGAGAUUAAACCGAAGGUGAUUAAAAGACCUUGAAAUCCAUGACGCAGGGAGAAUUGCGUCAUUUAAAGCCUAGUUAACGCAUUUAAACGCAGACGAAAAUGGAAAGAUUAGUUGGGAGUGGUAGGAUGAAACGAUUUGGAGAAGAUAGAAGUUUGAAGUGGAAAACUGGAAGACAGAAGUACAGGAAGGCGGAGAAAAGAAUAGAGAAGAUAGGGAAAUUAGAAGAUAAAAACAUACUUUUAGAAGAAAAAAGAUAAAUUUAAACCUGAAAAGUAGGAAGCAGAAGAAAAAAGACAAGCUAGGAAACAAAAAACUAAGGGCAAAAUGUACAAACUUAGAAGAAAAUUGGAAGAUAGAAACAAGAUAGAAAAUGAAAAUAUUGUCAAGAGUUUCAGAUAGAAAAUGAAAAACAAGCUAAGACAAGUAUUGGAGAAGUAUAGAAGAUAGAAAAAUAUAAAGCCAAAAAUUGGAUAAAAUAGCACUGAAAAAGUGAGGAAAUUAUUGGUAACCAAUUUAUUUUAAAAGCCCAUCAAUUUAAUUUCUGGUGGUGCAGAAGUUAGAAGGUAAAGCUUGAGAAGAUGAGGGUGUUUACGUAGACCAGAACCAAUUUAGAAGAAUACUUGAAGCUAGAAGGGGAAGUUGGUUAAAAAUCACAUCAAAAAAGGACUGGUGUAAUUUAAAAAAAAACUAAGGCAGAAGGCUUUUGGAAGAGUUAGAAGAAUUUGGAAGGCCUUAAAUAUAGUAGCUUAGUUUGAAAAAUGUGAAGGACUUUCGUAACGGAAGUAAUUCAAGAUCAAGAGUAAUUACCAACUUAAUGUUUUUGCAUUGGACUUUGAGUUAAGAUUAUUUUUUAAAUCCUGAGGACUAGCAUUAAUUGACAGCUGACCCAGGUGCUACACAGAAGUGGAUUCAGUGAAUCUAGGAAGACAGCAGCAGACAGGAUUCCGGGAACCAGUGUUUGAUGAAGCUAGGACUGAGGAGCAAGCGAGCAAGCAGCAGUUCGUGGUGAAGAUAGGAAAAGAGUCCAGGAGCCAGUGCGAUUUGGUGAAGGAAGCUAGGAAGAAGGAAGGAGCGCUAACGAUUUGGUGGUGAAGCUAGGAAAAAGGAUUCCAGAAAGGAGCGAGUGCGAUUUGGUGAUGAAGCUAGCAGGCGGCUUGGCUUGGCAACCACACGGAGGAGGCGAGCAGGCGUUGUGCGUAGAUAGAGGAUCCUAGACCAGCAUGCCAGUGUGCCAAGGCCACAGGGAAAACGAGUGGUUGGUAAAAAUCCGUGAGGUCGGCAAUAUGUUGUUUUUCUGGAACUUAUGGUAACCUUUUAUUUAUUUUCUAAUAUAAUGGGGGAGUUUCGUACUGAGGUGUAAAGGGAUUUAUAUGGGGAACGUAGGCCGAUUUCCGGGUGUUGUAGGUUUCUCUUUUUCAGGCUUAUACUCAUGAAUCUUGUCUGAAGCUUUUGAGGGCAGACUGCCAAGUCCUGGAGAAAUAGUAGAUGGCAAGUUUGUGGGUUUUUUUUUUUUUUUUUUUUUUUUUUACGAAUUUGAGGAAAACCAAAUGAAUUUGAUAGCCAAAUUGAGACAAUUUCAGCAAAUCUGUAAGCAGUUUGUAUGUUUAGUUGGGGUAAAUGAAGUAUUUCAGUUUUGUGAAUAGAUGACCUGUUUUUACUUCCUCACCCUGAAUUCGUUUUGUAAAUGUAGAGUUUGGAUGUGUAACUGAGGCGGGGGGGAGUUUUCAGUAUUUUUUUUUUGUGGGGGUGGGGGCAAAAUAUGUUUUCAGUUCUUUUUCCCUUAGGUCUGUCUAGAAUCCUAAAGGCAAAUGACUCAAGGUGUAACAGAAAACAAGAAAAUCCAAUAUCAGGAUAAUCAGACCACCACAGGUUUACAGUUUAUAGAAACUAGAGCAGUUCUCACGUUGAGGUCUGUGGAAGAGAUGUCCAUUGGAGAAAUGGCUGGUAGUUACUCUUUUUUCCCCCCACCCCCUUAAUCAGACUUUAAAAGUGCUUAACCCCUUAAACUUGUUAUUUUUUACUUGAAGCAUUUUGGGAUGGUCUUAACAGGGAAGAGAGAGGGUGGGGGAGAAAAUGUUUUUUUCUAAGAUUUUCCACAGAUGCUAUAGUACUAUUGACAAACUGGGUUAGAGAAGGAGUGUACCGCUGUGCUGUUGGCACGAACACCUUCAGGGACUGGAGCUGCUUUUAUCCUUGGAAGAGUAUUUCCAGUUGAAGCUGAAAAGUACAGCACAGUGCAGCUUUGGUUCAUAUUCAGUCAUCUCAGGAGAACUUCAGAAGAGCUUGAGUAGGCCAAAUGUUGAAGUUAAGUUUUCCAAUAAUGUGACUUCUUAAAAGUUUUAUUAAAGGGGAGGGGCAAAUAUUGGCAAUUAGUUGGCAGUGGCCUGUUACGGUUGGGAUUGGUGGGGUGGGUUUAGGUAAUUGUUUAGUUUAUGAUUGCAGAUAAACUCAUGCCAGAGAACUUAAAGUCUUAGAAUGGAAAAAGUAAAGAAAUAUCAACUUCCAAGUUGGCAAGUAACUCCCAAUGAUUUAGUUUUUUUCCCCCCAGUUUGAAUUGGGAAGCUGGGGGAAGUUAAAUAUGAGCCACUGGGUGUACCAGUGCAUUAAUUUGGGCAAGGAAAGUGUCAUAAUUUGAUACUGUAUCUGUUUUCCUUCAAAGUAUAGAGCUUUUGGGGAAGGAAAGUAUUGAACUGGGGGUUGGUCUGGCCUACUGGGCUGACAUUAAUUACAAUUAUGGGAAAUGCAAAAGUUGUUUGGAUAUGGUAGUGUGUGGUUCUCUUUUGGAAUUUUUUUCAGGUGAUUUAAUAAUAAUUUAAAACUACUAUAGAAACUUCAGAGCAAAGGAAGUGGCUUAAUGAUCCUGAAGGGAUUUCUUCUGAUGGUAGCUUUUGUAUUAUCAAACUUUUUUCAGAUAACAUCUUCUGAGUCAUAACCAGCCUGGCAGUAUGAUGGCCUAGAUGCAGAGAAAACAGCUCCUUGACAGGUAUCUCUUCGUUAUCAGAAGAGUUGCUUCAUUUCAUCUGGGAGCAGAAAACAGCAGGCAGCUGUUAACAGAUAAGUUUAACUUGCAUCUGCAGUAUUGCAUGUUAGGGAUAAGUGCUUAUUUUUAAGAGGUGUGGAGUUCUUAAAUAUCAACCAUGGCACUUUCUCCUGACCCCUUCCCUAGGGGAUUUCAGGAUUGAGAAAUUUUUCCAUCGAGCCUCUUUAAAAUUGUAGGACUUGUUCCUGUGGGCUUCAAUGAUGGGAUAGUACACUUCACUCAGAGGCAUUUGCAUCUUUAAAUAAUUUCUUAAAAGCCUCUAAAGUGAUCAGUGCCUUGAUGCCAACUAAGGAAAUUUGUUUAGCAUUGAAUCUCUGAAGGCUCUAUGAAAGGAAUAGCAUGAUGUGCUGUUAGAAUCAGAUGUUAUUGCUAAAAUUUACAUGUUGUGUUGUGAUGUAAAUUGUGUAGAAAACCAUUAAAUCAUUCAAAAUAAUAAACUAUUUUUAUUAGAGAAUGUAUACUUUUAGAAAGCUGUCUCCUUAUUUAAAUACAAUACUGUUUGUCUGUAGUUUAGUGUUGGGGCAAUCUUGGGGGGGAUUCUUCUCUAAUCUUUCAGAAACUUUGUCUGCGAACACUCUUUAAUGGACCAGAUCAGGAUUUGAGCGGAAGAACGAAUGUAACUUUAAGGCAGGAAAGACAAAUUUUAUUCUUCAUAAAGUGAUGAGCAUAUAAUAAUUCCAGGCACAUGGCAAUAGAGGCCCUCUAAAUAAGGAAUAAAUAACCUCUUAGACAGAGGCAUUUCAUCCUUCAUGAAGCUGUUCAGGAUUUUGAAUUGCAUAUGAGUGCUUGGCUCUUCCUUCUGUUCUCCUAACUUCACAGAGAAUGCAGUUGUCUUGACUUCAGAUGCAACCUUAAAAUCAGUGACAAGAAACAAAUUCCAAACAAGCAACAGUCUUCAAGAAAUUAAACUGGCAAGUGGAAAUGUUUAAACAGUUCAGUGAUCUUUAGUGCAUUGUUUUUGUGUGGGUUUCUCUCUCCCCUCCCUUGGUCUUAAUUCUUACAUGCAGGAACACUCAGCAGACACACGUAUGCGAAGGGCCAGAGAAGCCAGACCCAGUAAGAAAAAAUAGCCUAUUUACUUUAAAUAAACCAAACAUUCCAUUUUAAAUGUGGGGAUUGGGAACCACUAGUUCUUUCAGAUGGUAUUCUUCAGACUAUAGAAGGAGCUUCCAGUUGAAUUCACCAGUGGACAAAAUGAGGAAAACAGGUGAACAAGCUUUUUCUGUAUUUACAUACAAAGUCAGAUCAGUUAUGGGACAAUAGU